UACGUAGGCAGCGAGCGUUGUUCGGAGUUACUGGGCGUAAAGGGUGUGUAGGCGGUUGUUUAAGUUUGGUGUGAAAUCUCCCGGCUCAACCGGGAGGGUGCGUCGAAUACUGAAUGACUAGAGUGCGGGAGAGGAAAGUGGAAUUCCUGGUGUAGCGGUGAAAUGCGUAGAUAUCAGGAGGAACACCGGUGGUGUAGACGGCUUUCUGGACCGUAAUUGACGCUGAGACACGAAAGCGUGGGUAGCAAACAGG
rnacentral:rRNA from 1 species